UACGAAGGGUGCAAGCGUUGUCCGGAAUUAUUGGGCGUAAAGAGCUCGUAGGCGGUUUGUCGCGUCUGCUGUGAAAACCCGAGGCUCAACCUCGGGCCUGCAGUGGGUACGGGCAGACUAGAGUGCGGUAGGGGAGAUUGGAAUUCCUGGUGUAGCGGUGGAAUGCGCAGAUAUCAGGAGGAACACCAAUGGCGAAGGCAGAUCUCUGGGCCGUAACUGACGCUGAGGAGCGAAAGCAUGGGGAGCGAACAGG
rnacentral:rRNA from 1 species